AUUUAAGCUGCUCAGUUUAAUUUUAAAUAGCUAGUGGAACGGUCAGCGUUUAACAAGCACGCAGUUCAAAUGGCGAGCAGCUCAACUUAGUUGCUGCAGUAGAAUUAAACUCAACAAUGGUUUUUCAUCUAUCAUUAUGCAACUGCUUAAUGAUAUCUGCAUUUCAAGUUUAUCAGAGUCAUCUAUCCUUCGUUGUAUGACAGUCCAUCCUUCUCCUACCGAUGAUUUCCUUAUCGUGAAUAUAUUGCAAUAACGGCUUGACUACCUUAUAGCAUUAGCUACUGCAAUGCUUGGCCUAGCACCAAAGAUGUUAAAUAACUUUCUCUAAUGUUUAUAUUCAAUGCCUUUGUAUGACUGUCCAACCAGCGCCCGCUUUGUUGAUUUCCUUAUGUGUAAUUGGUGUGAAUGCCUAAGAAUUGGUUUUAAUACUCAAGAUAUCGCAAUUUGAUAUAUUUUAAUUAAAGCUGUACAAUUAACAC